CAGAGACCGGUCCCAGAACACAUGAAAGUUCAGAAAAAAUAUUUUAAAGCAAUCUAAGCCUUCUGAACUUAUUCUAAUUAUAUGUCUUCACCACAAAUAGUCUUUUCUUCAUACCUUAGGUGUCGAGUUUUCCGAAUGAGUCUUCGUCCUCCCAUUUGAAUCUAUUCUCAAAAACUUCUGCAAUCAACUCUUCAAGACUCCAAACAAUCUUACGAAAUUCGCCAACCUAUAAAAUCCUUAACAUAGCCCACUAGCAACAAUAACUUGUUGGGCCCAAACACUUGCCCAAAAUGUUUAAACCCAGUUAAGAGUUUUAGCCCUAUUAUUUCUUAU
rnacentral:lncRNA from 1 species